GACGAACGCUGGCGGCGUGCUUAACACAUGCAAGUCGAACGGAAAGGCCCUGCUUUUGUGGGGUGCUCGAGUGGCGAAAGGGUGAGUAACACGUGAGUAACCUGCCCUUGACUUUGGGAUAACUUCAGGAAACUGGGGCUCAUACCGGAUAGGCGCUCCUGCUGCAUGUUGGGUGUUGGAAAGUUUCGGCGGUUGGGGAUGGACUCGCGGCUUAUCAGCUUGUUGGUGGGGUAGUGGCUUACCAAGGCUUUGACGGGUAGCCGGCCUGAGAGGGUGACCGGCCACAUUGGGACUGAGAUACGGCCCAGACUCCUACGGGAGGCAGCAGUGGGGAAUAUUGCACAAUGGGCGGAAGCCUGAUGCAGCAACGCCGCGUGAGGGAUGACGGCCUUCGGGUUGUAAACCGCUUUCGCCAGUGAAGAAGCGUGAGUGACGGUAAUGGGUAAAGAAGCACCGGCUAACUACGUG
rnacentral:rRNA from 1 species